rnacentral:rRNA from 1 species
UACGUAGGGUGCAAGCGUUGUCCGGAAUUAUUGGGCGUAAAGAGCUCGUAGGCGGUUUGUCGCGUCUGCUGUGAAAACUCGGGGCUUAACCCCGGGCCUGCAGUGGGUACGGGCAGACUAGAGUGCGGUAGGGGAGACUGGAAUUCCUGGUGUAGCGGUGAAAUGCGCAGAUAUCAGGAGGAACACCGGUGGCGAAGGCGGGUCUCUGGGCCGUAACUGACGCUGAGGCGCGAAAGCGUGGGGAGCAAACAGG